CCUACGGGAGGCAGCAGUGAGGAAUAUUGGUCAAUGGGCGGAAGCCUGAACCAGCCAAGUCGCGUGAGGGAUUAAGGCCCUGCGGGUCGUAAACCUCUUUUGCCGGGGAGCAGAGGUCCGGACGUGUCCGGGCAGGGAGAGUACCCUGAGAAAAAGCAUCGGCUAACUCCGUGCCAGCAGCCGCGGUAAUACGGGGGAUGCGAGCGUUAUCCGGAUUUAUUGGGUUUAAAGGGUGCGUAGGCGGGGAGUUAGGCCGGCGGGCAAAGGUCGGGGCCCAACCCCGGCCUGCCGUCGGAACUGGGUGCCUUGAGUGGGCGAGAAGUAUGUGGAAUGCGUGGUGUAGCGGUGAAAUGCAUAGAUAUCACGCAGAACCCCGAUUGCGAAGGCAGCAUACCGGCGCCCUACUGACGCUGAGGCACGAAAGUGCGGGUAGCGAACAGGAUUAGAUACCCUGGUAGUC
rnacentral:rRNA from 1 species